UACGAAGGGGGCUAGCGUUGCUCGGAAUCACUGGGCGUAAAGCGCACGUAGGCGGCUUACUAAGUCAGGGGUGAAAUCCUGGAGCUCAACUCCAGAACUGCCUUUGAUACUGGUAAGCUCGAGUCCGGGAGAGGUGAGUGGAACUGCGAGUGUAGAGGUGAAAUUCGUAGAUAUUCGGAAGAACACCAGUGGCGAAGGCGGCUCACUGGACUGGUAUUGACGCUGAGGUGCGAGAGCGUGGGGAGCAAACAGG
rnacentral:rRNA from 1 species